UACGUAGGGGGCAAGCGUUGUCCGGAUUUAUUGGGCGUAAAGAGCGUGUAGGCGGCCAUUCAGGUCAGCUGUGAAAACUCGAGGCUCAACCUCGAGACGUCGGUUGAAACCGUUUGGCUAGAGUCCGGAAGAGGAGAGUGGAAUUCCCCGGUGUAGCGGUGAAAUGCGCAGAUAUCGGGAAGAACACCCGUGGCGAAGGCGGCUCUCUGGGACGGUACUGACGCUGAGACGCGAAAGCGUGGGGAGCGAACAGG
rnacentral:rRNA from 1 species